rnacentral:lncRNA from 1 species
AAAUUCGUUCCAGACGGCCCCGACAUUCAAGGUAGAUGUGAUUUUUGUUAAAUAUAUUUUUAUUCUCGUGUUUUAUGUAUAAUGACCUACCUUACCCAUCACCCACUUUCUUUAAAUACAUGGAUAAUGACCCAUUUAUUUUAAUAGACGGAUCAUAACUUCAAUCUUUUAAACAAAUGGAUCAUAUAUAUUAUUGAUUUUAUUGACCCAUAAGAUCAGAUUUUGUUGUUAUAAAAAAAUAUAAAAGCUAAAAGUUGUAAUUUUAAUUUAUAAAAUGAAUAGACCCAAACAUUGAUUCAGAAACGGGGACAGUUCUGGUCCCAGGGGUACUUUGGGAAAACUUUCCUAAUUUAAAGUUUUGAGUUAGUUUAGGAUUCCAAUUAGGGUAUGGUUGUGUGACCUUUUUAAUUAAGUUUUUUUUCAGUCUUUUCAGUAAUAAAAUUUGGAGAACAAGUAAUUUUCCCAGAUUUCUUCCUCCCCUGUUUCGCUCAUGCUCUAUUUCUUUUCUGCACACAGCUGAAGUUUCCAUUCUGUCAUAAUCAAGUGAAUUGAUAUGGUGUGGUGGCAUCCAUUUUACCCCACCCUGAGGAGUAUUUAAACUUUUCAUUUUCUAGAAGGUUGUCAGCUAAGAAAAUUCUAGUAGCAAAAACUAUUUGAGAGGCCCUUCCUCUUGAAAGAAUGGGAAAACCCUAAUAAAUCAUUAAUUAUCAGUUACUUGUUUCCAGUUGUGAAUUUCCUGCUUAUUCUCUUUACUCUGUGUGGGGCUUAUUAGCACACUCAAUUGAUCACAUAAACAUUCAUGGACCUAAUAUGACUACUUUGUCCAAAUGGAUUAUUUGUGAAUAAUGACUAACACAUAACUUGUUAUCUGUUUUCAGUAGAAAAGGAAAGGUUUUGGUUGAGAGCUUUAUCCCUAAGGAAGCCUGACAUAAGUGGUCGUGCACAUAAGGUAUACUUUUUGACACCCAAACGUUUUCUCUCUUCGCGUGAACAAAAGGAAUACACAACCGAAUAUUAGGAAUCAAAGUUCUCAAUUUGUUUAGGGUGUAACAAAAUAGGAGGAGUUAUAACCUUUCACUGAAUGCAUUAAAGUGGAAAUAUUAAAAUUUGGAAUCAUAGAAUACUACAAAUAUCUGUUCAUACCAUGUCUAAACACUAUGGGUCAAAAUCUAGGAUUGAAUUCUCACCAUUCCCUGUACUUGUCUCAGUGUAAUAUGCAAGUAGGACCAAUUCAUAGAUUAAUCAUAUUCAGUAGACGUUCUUGGGUAAAUUCUAUGUUAAUAACAAACUAUUGCAUUUUGGAAAACAAGAUGAAAUUGUUUAAGCAUAUUGCUUGAUUUUAAGGAAUCUUAUUGAUAGAUUCAUUCUUAGGAUAGGAAUCAUUAUUCUGUUGAAUCAAGAAAAUGUAACAUAAACUUUAACAAUUUUCUUACUUUCCUUUUUAUGUAGGGUGAGGGGGAAUCUUCAAGGUCUCAUCCUUCAGAUGAAAAGGAUUGAGAAAGAGAGGCUACAUGGCUGGCAUGAAUAGAAAAUAGAUGGGUAGCCUGAUGCUAUUGCAAAUUCAUUAUAUCCUACUUUUCUAGAAGAAUUAAGAUAAUAUAUUCCAGCCUCUACUGCAAAAUUAAACACAUUUGUAUUUGUAUGUUAUUUCCCCAUGAUUCUUUUAAGCAUAGUUAUCAAAAUUAAACACUUCUCGAUUUGUGUGCUAUUUCCUGAUCAUUAUUUGAACUGAAAUCUUAGUCUCAGUUAUUGCCUUAUCAACAAUGUCCAUAUGAAAGAUGAGAAUUCUCGUAUCAUUUGUUUUCUUGUUUUGUUUAUUUAUUUAUUUAUUUAUUUUUUAUUUUAGAAGCAACACUUUUAGGUCGCCCCUUUUUCUACACAUCACGAUACAGAAUAGUAUCACAUAUUAAUUUAUAUAUCUUAUCUUUACUGUCCUCUAUAUCUUUUAUUGUUACUAUUUGUGGUUGCCAAAAGAAUAUCAUAUUCUCAUUUAUUUUCAUUUUCCAGCUCAUCUUGAUAUCAUAUCAAGUUAUCAGUAGUGUUUUUGCAACAAAGUUAGACUCCACAAUCUGGUCAUUUGAGGCUGAAAAUAAAUCAUCAACAUCAACUUAUCUGUGGUCUUUAUGCACCACUCUCAUUUCGUGUCUUUUUCCCAUGUCCUCAUUGUCCUUAACAACUUGAACAUCACAUAACCCCGUGCCUGAUUCCACCUCAUUUGAGCUUAAAAAAAACCUGUUCAUCUCCUUACCAACAUCUUGAUUACCAUUGAAGUCAUUUUAUUGGCCAUAAUUAUCAUUCACACUUGCAUUAGUAACCUUGCUUUCAGUAUCCAGAUUGGAGAUGAUUGGAGAUACAAGGAGUAGAGGCUUUAAUUAACUCUUUUGCUUUCAGUAUCUGAAUACAACAAAAUGGCACCAAAAACAAAAACUAAGAAGCAACACCCAAAUGAUGAGAGAAGAUGCAACAUGGCCAAAAAGCAAUUAGCCAAAACUAUAUCAUUGGAGACAAUAAACCACUUCAACUUGGCCAAAAAGCAACAUGAAGCAAUUGGAAGCAAUGAAAGAAUACACUAUUUGAAAACUCUAAAUUGGAGCGAGUCACCAAUUUAAACUAAUAAUAUCCACAUCAAGAGUAUAUGCAUAGCUCCUCCACAUGUUGACUUUUUUUUUUUUCUUAACUACAAAUCUAGCCACUUUUUUUCAUAAUUUAAUAAAAGCUUUGUUUUCUAUUUAUCAUUAUUUGUAUACACAUAGCAAGAAAAGCUUAUAACUCCAGUGGGUGCAAUCUUUGGGAUAAAGUAUUUACAUAUAAAAACAUUUUACACAUUAAUUUGAACCAAUCAUUAUAAAGUUAGAAAAAUCAUAUUACUAUAUAAAUUAAUAAAUGUUUGAAAAUCAUUAAUUAAUGAUUAUAACUACAAAGUAUUAAUAUUAUUUUAAUUUACUAACUGCGGUUACUACGAGUUAGUUUAUAAAGAAGCAAACCACUUAAAGAUACCUUUUUCACUAUUCAAAUACUAGAAAUCACUUGAUCCUCUUCUUAACAAACCAUUAUUAUAACCACAAAAAAGAAGAAAUAUGAACAACAAGGUCUAAGAUGAGAGAGAGUCAAUACUCAUAAUUUUCUCAGGCCAACCCCACUUCUUAAAAUUUGGACAAUUUUAUGCAUACAACUAGUCUAGGAAUGACAUUUAUUAUUAACAAAUUGAAAUGAAAUGAAAAUGAAAUUUAAAGAGUAAAAUGGAAUAAGAUGUGUGGUUUUCAAUUGGUACGAAGAGAGUAUUUGUAAUGAUAUAAAGGAGAAAAAAAAGGAAAAAAAAUGAAAAUGUAACUGUUAGAACGCGUUCCACAAACCUUUAACCUUCUUCUAACGGUAACCAAUGCGCUCAAAUCCAUCUCCUCGGCGGUACUGCCCGCCACCCGCCGGAGCCCACUUCCGAUACCCUCCACUCUAAUAAAUAUCAUUAUUAUCUUCCAAUUUUAAGUAUCAUGAUAAGUACUGUGUUGACUUUGGGUUGACAUAAGGAAUAACAAUUAUUUUCUCUAAAAUUCUCCUUGCGAAUCAUUAUUUUGUUGAAAUGUACCUUUUCUUUAUGAGCAUAAUUACUUUAUUGAAUUUAGCUUGCCUUGAUAAAUAUCUUUUAUUUUCGUGAAGUUUACAUUGUCUUAAUAAAUAUCAUUACCACUUUAAUAAUUAUCAUUUCUAAUUCCACAAUAAAUAUCAUUAAAUAGUUUUCUUUAAUAAUUAUUAGACAAAAUUACAAAAAUGGUCCCUGUGGUUUGCCAAAAGUCACGAAGUCAGUAUCUGUUAAUUUUUUUUUGAUGUAAAUGGUCCUUGUGGUUUGCAAAACUUGCAAAGAUGACCCUUUUUACUAACACCAUUAGUAUUCAGCCGUUAGGGACUAAAUCUGUAAGGGUAUUUUCGUCUUUUCAAGUAUAAAGGGACUGAAUUCGUGACAUUUAAUAAACCAUAGGGACCAUUUUUGUAAUUUGUCUUAAAAUAAUAUAAAUGAUAGAAAAUGAAGUGUACUAUAUUCGAACUUUGGACCUCCUACCUUUCUCCCUUAAUCAACCAAAGCUUUAACCAACUAGGCUAGAGCCGCACUUGAUUUAUAUUUUCGAAAACUAACUAAUAUUAUCUACAAAUCGUAAAUAAAUUAAUAAUAAAAUAUUAAAAAAAACAUAUUUUUACAAAAAAAAAAAAUUAAUAAAACAAAAUAUAUUUUUAGCGUAUUGUAAAAAAAAAAUACAAACAAUUAUUUGUUUUUUUACGUAUUUAAAAAAAUAAGUUUCCGUAUACUUUUAAAUACAUAAAAAAAUAACGUAAUAACAUAUUCUACAAAAACAUAAUCCUAAAAAACAUAAAAAAAAGUUUUUUGUAUAUAUUUAUUUUAUGUGAAGAUUCAGUUCCUAACGGCUGAAUACUAACGGUGAUAGUAAAAAGGGCCAUCUUUGUAAGUUUUGCAAACCACAAGGACCAUUUACAUCAAAAAAAUUAACAGGGAUUGAUUUUGUGACUUUUGGCAAACCAUAGGGACCAUUUUUGUAAUUAUGUCUAAUUAUUAUUAUUUAUAGAAAAGAAUUGAAAAAAAAAGCGACACCAUCAAGGCAUCGAAGGAAAACCCAACACCCUCGUUGACUCUCCUCUCUGGUCGUCUCCCUUCCUCGUUGACUUGCUGUUUCCCUGCCGACUUAACGCGGUUCGCUCUGUACUUUUCACUCUUCAUCGAUCUUUCUCAGCCGCGUCACUGUUGGUUCAUCCUUUAUCGCUGCUGUUUCAGUUCUCCUUGUCAUCCUGUAUGCUUCUUAAUUACAAGUUGUUAGACAAUUUCAUCUUAUGAAUCAUAAAUCACAUCAUAAUCAUUUCGUUAUUUCACUAACAGGUGAUUGAAUAUUGUCUAUUUCCAUUAUUUUUGUUUUAUUUUAUAUAUCAAUUAGGAUACUCCACACUCCUUCUAGCCCAAAGUCCAGUACGAUGAACAAAAUUUCCUGCACGUUGAGAAUUCUUUGAUCCUUUAAAAUUUCUUCCUCAAUUCCUCUAUAUUUUCUAAUUCGCAACACGAUUUUUAGAUUUGAUUCUUUUUGAAUGAUGUUUAUGAACAAGCUUCAAUAUUUGAUUGUCAUAAUGAGUGUUUUGCUUGUGUAUAGACUAAAGAGUGCAUUUAGCUUUGAAAUUUCUUCUAUUAUUGAGUUUGAAAUUGAACCCUUAGAAAGGGCAAAGUGGAAGGCGUGUUUUGCUGGCUUCAGAAACAUAUCAUUUGGAACAAGCCCAUAAAUAUUGUUAGUUGAAACACUUAAAAUAAGAUGUAUGCUGAUACUAGAUCCAGUUAUAUAUGAAUUUUAAAUUUGUGUAGAUUGUUGUGCUAAUUUUGGAGAUCCAUAAUUAAACAACCUUGUCAAGCAAGUGCUGUUUUUUUUUGUUUAAAACUUUACAUCUUUCAAUUGUUUGUUGAUAUCUAGUAAAAGCUUGAAAUUUCCUAUAUGCUUUGCAAUUUCCUUCAUGGGAGGUAAUAGUGGAUCUUGUAGUUAUUUCAAGAAUGGUAUUUUGGUGUAGAUUUGUUUGACGAUUACUCUACUGAAAUUCAUAUGGAUUUUACUUAGAUAAAUAAGGAUCUUUAUGUGGGCUAAUCAAAUUAAAACAGAGGCGUUGUAGUUUCAAUGCAUAAAUUGGUUUGUUAUUUUCUUGAAUCUAAACUUAGCCAGAAAAACAGGUUAAUUAAUUGGUAACAGCUUUUAAAAUAAAUUUCAUGGCAAUGUAAUGGUUAUUCUAUAUCCAUACUUUGUUUUUGUGGGAAAGAAUAUUCUAUAUAAAUACUUAGUUAGCUAUAUAUGUUUUGGCUAAAGGAUCCAAAAACCUGUCACAUAAUUAUUAUUGCCAUGAGAUUGCUGUUGUAGUGAUUUAACAGCGUCUCUUUGUAUUUCAAACACAGCAGCAACCGAUUAAUGCUUAUUCUUUUGUGUUCCUUUUCCAGUGUUUAUUUGAUGAGAUUGAAGUUGCAUAUUUUAAAUAUUAAUAAUUUGGAUUUUAUGUACAGGCUUUAUUUGAACCACAAGUUAAGAGCUUCUAGCUUAUUGAGAUACACAAAGGCUUAUCAACCCAUAACUCAUAAUGGUUAUUCUCUCUGAACUCCUCUCAGAAGGAUCUUCAUCUUCUUCAUCAAAUAGUGGUCAUAGUCCAACUGAUGGUCAAAGUUCAUCAACUGAUGGUUACAUGUACGAUGUAUUUUUAAGUUUUAGAGGUGUUGACACUCGUCAUAGUUUCACUGAUCACCUUCAUAAAGCCCUCAUUGAUGCCAAUAUCACUACGUUCUUGGAUGAUGAAGAGAUUGAAACAGGGGAAGAUCUGAAACCAGAACUAGAGACUGCAAUUAAGGCAUCUCGGGGUUCUAUCAUUGUGAUGUCUAAGAAUUACGCUUCUUCAACAUGGUGUCUGGAUGAAUUGGUGUUGAUCCUUGAGCAGCAUAUGACAUCUGAUCAUAUUAUUAUCCCCAUAUUUUAUCAUGUUGAGCCCACUCAUAUCGGGAAGCAACAAAGUAGCUUUGGAGAUGCAAUGGCUAAGCAUAAACAGACAAUGGAGGCAGAGACAAAUGCAAAUAAAAGAAGUGAAUGGGCUCAAAAGAUGGACCGAUGGAAUAAAGCCCUUAUAGAAGUAGCUAAUUUAAAAGGAAAAGACGUCAAUGGAAGGUAACUGUUUUCUUACCUAUAUUUCCAAAAUUCUUCAAUUUUGUUUGAUUAACACAUGAAUGUUAGUAUCAUCUUCUCCCAAUGCAUUUCAAUAAGUUUCUUUAACAUCACUAAAAAGACAUAUNUAUAUAUAUAUAUAUAUAUAAUGUAUUAGGAUAUAAAUUCCACACAUUUUUUUAUGCAUUUUGUGUUUCAUUAUAAGUUACUUCAUUUAGACAAACUGUUCCAAUUAUUUUGUAUGCUUUCUAUUAAGAAAACAAGAUUUGAAGGGUUUGCUAUGCAUCUACUAUUACUUAUACCAUACCACCUUAUAAUCAUAGUGUCUUUUAUGAUAAAUAACUUAUCUUACCUUUAAGCAGUAAAACAUUACUUAUAACUGGCACUUUUUUCAAAACACGCCACAAUGAUAGUUAUGAUGGUCUUGUGUAAAUGCAGUGAAGUUAGGUUGUCCAUUAGUGAAAUCUGGUAUUACAUUGGAACUUGUAUGGUUAGAACAUAGAAGUGUAAACACAAUAUCAUUUUAAUGUGAAGGACUUGAUUAAAAUUAAUAGCUAUGAUAUAAUUUUGAUUUUGGUUCUUUGGACAAAUUAAAUCUCCAAAUCCAGUUUGUUAGUUCUGUGGUUCAUAUAAAAUCUGAUUUCAGGCUAGAGACGGAAUUUAUUGAAGAAAUUGUGAAGGACAUCCAACGUAGGUUACAUGUACGCUUAAGGAGUGUCCGGCAACAACUUAUUGGGAUGGACUAUGAUAUUAAGUUCAUCACUUCAUGGUUGAAAGAUGGAUCCUCACAUACGGCAGACAUACUCACUAUUUAUGGUAUAGGAGGGAUUGGGAAGACAACUUUAGCCAAACAUGUCUAUGGGCUAUAUGCUCACAAAUUCCACAAAAGCAGCUGUAUUGAAGAUGUUAGUAGGGUAUGUGAUGGAAAGUUUAAUGGGUUGCUUGAUUUACAAGAAAAACUAAGCAGUGACAUUUCAAAAACAAGUUCCGUUAAAGUUCAUGAUGCUUCGGUAUACACCUCAAAGAUAGAGAAUGCAGUAGCACGUAAAAGGGUGUUUCUUGUUCUUGAUGAUAUUAGCACGCUUGAUCAGUUGGAUGCGUUACUUGGAAGCAAAGGUUUUCAUCCCGGAAGCAAAAUAAUUAUAACCACAAAGGAAAGACAUUUGAUAGAGAGGUGUGCACUAUUCAAAACAGACAUUAAACCAAAGCAUACAAAGCUCUUGCUUCAAGGCUUACAUGAGACCGAAUCAUGGAAACUUUUGUGUCUCCAUGCAUUCAAAUGCAACUAUCCCAAGACAGGUUAUGAAGGGGUGUUAUAUAAGCUUGUGAAGUAUUGUCAAGGACAUCCAUUGGCUCUUGUAGUAUUGGGAAAAUCUCUAUAUGAUCGAGAUGUAACUUAUUGGGAAGGGUGCAUAGAAGGGCUAAAGAAAGAAACAGAUUCUCAUGUGAAUAAUGUCUUGAGAAUGAGCUUUAACUCUUUGCCAUCCAAAAAUGAUAAGGACUUGUUUAAGUAUAUUGCUUGUUUUUUUGUUGGAAUAGAUAGAGAUGUUGCUGAAACAAUAUUAAAGGCAUGCAAUAUAAACAUAAGAUCUGGAAUCCCGAAUCUCCUCGACCGAUUCCUUCUUUCGAUUGGAUGGAAAAACAAAUUGAAGAUGCAUCAGUUGGUUCAAGAGAUGGGAAGGUUCGAAGUACGUCAAGAAUCACAUGACAAGCCAUGGAAGAGAAGUCUAUUAUGGUGUCAUGAGGAGUCAUUCAGAGUAUUAAAACAAAAAAAGGUAAGAGGUCAUAUGUGGUUUUAAAAGUAUGCAUGUUAAAAAUAUUGUGUAUGGUCUCAACUUUUUAUUUACAUUAUGUUUCUUCUUAGGGUAAGGGAAAUCUUGUUGGCCUUGCCCUUGACAUGCGCAUGCUUGAGAAAGAGAUGUUGGGUGCAUCAUAUAAGUUAAAAACAAAUGCAUUAAGUAAGAUGGAUAAUUUGAUGCUACUACAACUCAAUUAUGUUCACAUGAAUGGGUCUUAUGAGAACUUUCCACCGGAACUAAGAGGUUUGUGUAUGCAUGGGUUUCAUUUAAAGUAUAUACCUUCAGAACUACCUAUGGAGAAUCUUGUUGCUCUUGACAUGUCAUAUAGCAAUAUUGAAUCAUUUAUCGGUUGUUAUAGUAAUCCACAACGACUUGAGAAGAGGCAAAAGGUAACUUAUCUUCAUUUAUUAUUUUUCCAUGUUUAGUUGAAUUUCACUCCCAUUCUAACUUCUUUCCAUUUUUAUAGUUGGAUGGAUUAUGCUUAAAAAACAAAAGGUUGCUUGGAUCAUUGAAGGUUCUUAAUUUAAGUUCCUGUAAACAACUUUGUAGUCUUGGUGACUUUAACCAAUUCCCAGCUCUCGAGAGGUUAAUAGUUAGAAAUUGCACUCGUUUGCUUGAGGUUAGUGAAUCAAUUGAGCAGUGUGUUGAACUUGCCCUCAUCGAUCUAAGCUACUGCAAGCAGCUUAAAAACCUUCCAAGAAUCAUAGGCAUGCUAAAGAAAGUUAAAACAAUGUUGCUAGAUGGUUGUAAUCUGGGUGAAUCUCAAACUGAGGAUACAAAUUUAGAUAUGGAUUCACUGGACAUGUGCAAUGCUAACAAAAACAUUAGCAUAAGCACAAGAACCUCUUUCUCCACCUUUGUGGGUGCUAUACCAAGCCGUUUGAAGUUUUUUUCAAGUUCUUUGCCAAGAUCUCUAGUAAGGUUGUCCCUUGUAAAUAAUAAUUUGUCCACUGAAUCCUUUCCUAUGGAUUUUAGUAGUCUGUCCUUGUUAAAGGAAUUAUAUUUAGAUGGAAAUCCUAUCCAUUCCAUGCCCAAUUGUGUGAGAACCCUUCAUAGGGUUGAGAUACUUAGUAUGCUAAACUGUAAUAAAUUGAAGUUGGUCGAACAUCCUCCACACACACUAAAAAUCUUGCUCUAUUCUGAUCGCGAGUCUUUAGAAAAAGUUGUAUUUGAUCCCAAAAUGUCUCCCCUCAUGUUAUUUUAUUUUCCAAGAAGUUACACCCCUAGGUCGUAUGAAAUUGAAGGCAUGGUGAAAAUCCAGACAAUGGUGGGUGUUGAGGAAAAGGUAUUACGUAGCUUGGGCUGGAUUAAUUUACUCCAUAACAAAAGGAAUGUGGGAAAUAAUCCUACGGAAUCUGGAAUGCAGGUUUUGUCAAGUUAACUGUCUUUCUUUAUUUGACUACAUAAAAUACUAUAAUAUAAUCAUUUAAUUUAGAUGUUUGUAUUUGGCAGAUGUUAUAUGAAUUUGGAAUAUUCAGCACAACAUAUGACGCAGAGGAGAUGCCGAGUUGGUUUAUUCAUAGAAGCGCAGGGCCAUCGAUUUCAUUUACAAUCCCAUCAUCAUCUCCAAAUAAUCUCCUUAAAGGAAUCAACUUCUGCUUUCUGCAGACAAUGAGAGUUUUGUAUGAGUUGCCUGUAAGUCUACAUGAUCAUUUCCGCAUUACACCGAUGAUCACAGUUAGUAAUAUAACAAAGAACCGCAUGUGGAUAUACGAACCUCUCUGGGACAGAUACUUUGUAGAUAAAAAGUGUAGGGUGGUGUUAAGUCAUUGGAUGUUAGGGAUGAAUGAGAUGGAGCCUGGUGACCACAUUACUGUUACUGUUACAGAGCCAUCUUAUGAACUUACAAAGGAGUGUGGUGUGAGUCUUGUGUAUGAGGAUGAUGGAGAGAAGAAGGAUGAAGAAGAUGUGUUGGGUUAUUACAAGUCAUGGAAUCACAUAAUUGGUGGAGAUCUCUCUCCUUUUCAGACAACUACAGGACAAUUCAUCCUAAGAAACCAGCAGUUUGUUACAUGUGGCUUAUGUAUAAUGACCCAUUUAUUUUAACAGAUAACUUAAAUCUUUUAAACAACUGGAUCAUAUAUACUAUUGAUUUUAUUGACCCAUAAGAUAAGAUGUUGUUUUAUAAAAAUAUUAAAGAUAANUAUAUAUAUAUAUAUAUAUUAUUGAUUUUAUUGACCCAUAAGAUAAGAUUUUGUUUUUAUAGUAAAAAAUAAAAGUUGUACUUUUAAUUUAUAAAAUGAAUAGAUGCAAGCAUUGAUUCAGAAACGGGGACAGUUUUGGUCCCAGGGGUAUUUUGGGAAAACUUUCCUAAUUUAAAGUUUUGAGUUAGUUUAGGAUUCCAAUUAGUUUAGUAUAAAUAGGGUAUGGUUGUGUGACAUUUUUAAUUAAGUUUUUUUUCAGUAAUAAAAUAUGGAGAACAAGUAAUUUUCCCAGAUUUCUUCCUCCCCUGUUUCGCUCAUGCUCUGUUUCUUUUCUGCACACAGUUGAAGUUUCCAUUCUGUCAUAAUCAAGUGAAUUGAUUCUUGUGUUAAGUUCAUUUUCAAGAGAAUUAAGCGAAUUAAUUCCUUCAUCACUUUCCAUAAAUAGAUGGAUAAUGACCCAUUUAUUUUAAUACAUAUGUCAUAACUUAAAUCUUUUAAACAGGAUCAUAUAUACGAUUGAUUUUAUUGACCCAUAAGAUAAGAUUUUUGGUUUGGUAUGGUGUGGUGGCAUCCAUUAUACCCUACCCUGAGGAGUAUUUAAACUUUUCAUUUUCUAGAUGAUUGUCAGCUAAGAAAAUUCUAGUAGCAAAAAGUAUUUGAGAGGCCCUUCCUCUUGAAAGAAUGGGAAAACCCUAUUAUUUAUAUAAUUCAUUAUCAGUUAGUUGUUUCUGGUUGUGAAUUUCCUGCUUAUUCUCUUUACUCCGUGUGGGGCUUAUCAGCACACUCAAUUGAUUAAGUCUUUCGAUAUGUUGGAUCACAUAAAUAUAUAUGGACCCAAUACGUAUGACUACUUUGUCCAAGUAGGUUGUUUGUGAACAAUGAUUAACAUAUCACUUUUAAUCUAUUUUCAGUAUGAAAGGAAAAGUUUUGGUUCAGAGCUUUAUCCCUAAGGAAGCUUGACAUAAGUCGUCGCGCACAUGAGGUAUACUUUUUGACACCCAAACCUUUUCUCUCAUCGCGUAAACAAAAGGAAUACACAACCGAAUAUUAGGAAUCAAAGCUCUCAAUUCGUUUAGGGUGUAACAAAAUAAGGGAGUUAUAACCUUUCAUUGAAUGCAUUGAAGUGGAAAUAUUAAAAUUUGGAAUCAUUGAAUACUACAAAUAUCUGUUCAUACCAUGUCUAAACACUAAGGGUCAAAAUCUAGGAUUGAAUUCUCACCACUCUCUGUCACAGUGUAAUAUGCAAUUGAGACCAAUUCAUAGAUUAAUAAUUUUCAGUAGAUGUUGUUCUUGGGUAAAUUCUAUGUUAAUAACAAACUAUUACACUUUGGAAGACAAUAUGAAAUUGUGUAAGCAUAUUGCUUGAUUUUAAGGAAUCUUAUUGAUAGAUUCAUUCUUAGGAUAGAACCAAGCAACAUGUUGAGAAUGCUUAAAUUGCUUCAAGAAUUUGGAAGAGAUGUGUCACCAGGACUCAUUAAUUCUGUUGAAUCAAGAAAAUGUAACAUAAUAUAUACGCUUCCAAGUAACUAUCUGUUUUCAUAACAUUUUGUGUUGUAUCCUGUAUAAUAUAUAACUUUUAAAAUUUUCUUACUUUUCGUUUCUAUGUAGGGUGAGGGGGGAUCUUCAAGGUCUCAUCCUUCACAUGAAAAGGAUUGAGAAAGUGAGGCUACAUGACUGGCAUGAGUUGAAAAUAGAUGCAAUGGGAAAAUGGGUAGCCUGAUGCUAUUGCAAACUCAAUCGUCUAUGACCUACUUUUCCAGAAGUAUUAAGAUAAUAUAUACCAGCCUCUACUACAAAAUUGAACACAUUUGGAAUUGUAUGUUAUUUCCCCAUGAUUCUUUUAAGCAUAGGUAUCAAAAUUAAACACUUCUUGAAUUGUGUGCUAUUUCUUGAUCAUAAUUUGAGCUGAAAUCUUGACCAUUGCCUUAUCAACAAUGUCUAUCGUGUCUAUGGACUCAAAAGCUCAAAUCCUUGAUAGGAUUCUAUAAUUUAUUUGGAUACUAUGUAAAAUUCGCUUGCUUCACCUUAAUAUUUUAAGACUCCGAUUCUGAAAGAUGAGAAUUC